UACGGAGGGGGUUAGCGUUUUUCGGAAUUACUGGGCGUAAAGCGCACGUAGGCGGGCUGUUAAGUCGGGGGUGAAAUCCCGGGGCUCAACCCCGGAACUGCCUUCGAUACUGGCAGCCUUGACUUCGAGAGAGGUGAGUGGAAUUCCGAGUGUAGAGGUGAAAUUCGUAGAUAUUCGGAGGAACACCAGUGGCGAAGGCGGCUCACUGGCUCGAUACUGACGCUGAGGUGCGAAAGCGUUGGGAGCAAACAGG
rnacentral:rRNA from 1 species